UACGUAGGGUGCGAGCGUUAAUCGGAAUUACUGGGCGUAAAGCGUGCGCAGGCGGCUUUGCAAGACAGAUGUGAAAUCCCCGGGCUCAACCUGGGAACUGCAUUUGUGACUGCAAGGCUAGAGUACGGCAGAGGGGGAUGGAAUUGCGCGUGUAGCAGUGAAAUGCGUAGAUAUGCGGAGGAACACCAAUGGCGAAGGCAA
rnacentral:rRNA from 1 species